UACGGGGGGGGCAAGCGUUGUUCGGAAUUACUGGGCGUAAAGGGCGAGUAGGCGGCCUUCUAAGUCAGACGUGAAAUCCCCCGGCUUAACCUGGGAACUGCGUUUGAUACUGGAUGUCUCGAGACCGGGAGAGGUGAGUGGAAUUCCGAGUGUAGAGGUGAAAUUCGUAGAUAUUCGGAAGAACACCAGUGGCGAAGGCGGCUCACUGGCCCGGUUCUGACGCUGAGGUGCGAAAGCGUGGGGAGCAAACAGG
rnacentral:rRNA from 1 species